rnacentral:rRNA from 1 species
UACGAGGGGUCCUAGCGUUGUUCGGAAUCACUGGGCGUAAAGCGUAUGUAGGCGGACCUCUAAGUCAGGUGUGAAAUCCCACGGCUCAACCGUGGAAUUGCAUUUGAAACUGGAGGUCUUGAGUGUGGGAGAGAUUGGUAGAAUACCUGGUGUAGUGGUGAAAUACGUAGAUAUCAGGUGGAAUACCGGUGGCGAAGGCGGCCAAUUGGCCCAACACUGACGCUGAGAUACGAAAGCGUGGGGAUCAAACAGG